rnacentral:lncRNA from 1 species
UAGUCCUUAUGGAAAGGUGUGUAAUGUAAACUAUUAGCUACGCAUGUUUCAACAGGUACUUAGGUGGAUGUUUAAAUUAUAUAUUUAUGUCUGCUGACAACAGUACUACACAGGCUGAUAAGUAAGGCCUCUUUGUUCCUGGGCUUUCCGCAGAAAUCCUGAUGAUGGCACUUAGGUAUGCUAUCAGCACAGUUUUGCUUCUUUAUACUGAAUUUCAUGCACUCCAUUGAUGCUUAGGCAUCUUGGUCAGAAAGUAUGUUUACUUAGUUUCGGGCCUGUCAGCGUUGAUAGAUGGAUUGGAUGCCAGCAUAUUUGCAUUAUUCCAGAUACUCCGUAGUUACUCCAACAUUACUUUGUUUCAAACAUCAUGUUUGCCUUUUGGUACUCAAGUCACUUCUUAUUUGACAGUCCUUUAAAAGAAGUUAAAAACUGGAAUCCUGCUUUGAUUGAUUCCAAAAUGGUCCCAUGGUUUACUCCAUAUAGGUUCUGGACAGCUAAUACUACCAUCCAUGUCAUGAGCUACUCUAAUCUGAUGACGGAAAAUAAUGUAUUGCUGCUGAUUCAUAUUGAAGGAUUUAGAACAUCCAUGUCACUUGAGUUGCUUGUUUUGUCUCGUAAUUUUGAGCCUAUUGAAAAAAAGGUAGUGCUAUACACUUAUGUUCCGAAUAGGCCCAAGCAAUCUCUUUCGUUGUAGAACUAAUUCUCACUUCGUAAAUAAAAAUCAUGCAGCUGUUCAGUCUUUGCCAUCGCACGUAAUUUUAGUUAUAACUUUAUGGAUGUUUUAUGAACUCAUUUGUCUUCUUUUCUUUGUGUAGCUCUUUUUCAGAUCUUCAGGCAGCUUCAAGUGGCAGUAGUGAUCUUGAACAGGGUUGUCUUAUGCAGUUUUUUGUCAGUUUAAAGAUAGAAGUGAAUGACAUACCUGGUACCUCUGUGAUGUUGUUAUCUUUUACCAUUGUACUUGGAGUAUAUACUGCCGAUCUUUGCUGAUCUAGUCAUUGUGCUCAUACAUGCUUAAGUAACUUGACCUUGAUAUUUAGCAUGUCUAGUUUGCAUCACAUGAUAUGCUACAUUAUCACUGUCAAGAUUUUCUGGACUAAACAAUUAUCAAAAAUGCCUAAUUAUUC